AACGAACGCUGGCGGCAUGCCUAACACAUGCAAGUCGAACGAUGCCUUCGGGCAUAGUGGCGCACGGGUGCGUAACGCGUGGGAAUCUGCCUUUCGGUUCGGAAUAACUCAGGGAAACUUGAGCUAAUACCGGAUAACGUCGCAAGACCAAAGAUUUAUCACCGAAAGAUGAGCCCGCGUAGGAUUAGCUAGUUGGUGAGGUAAAGGCUCACCAAGGCGACGAUCCUUAGCUGGUCUGAGAGGAUGAUCAGCCACACUGGGACUGAGACACGGCCCAGACUCCUACGGGAGGCAGCAGUGGGGAAUAUUGGACAAUGGGCGAAAGCCUGAUCCAGCAAUGCCGCGUGAGUGAUGAAGGCCUUAGGGUUGUAAAGCUCUUUUACCCGGGAAGAUAAUGACGGGACCGGGAGAAUAAGCCCCGGCUAACUCCGU
rnacentral:rRNA from 1 species